AGAGUUUGAUCCUGGCUCAGGAUAAACGCUGGCGGCGUGCCUAACACAUGCAAGUCGAACGUCCUGCGCGCAAGCGCAGGGAGUGGCGGACGGGUGAGGAACACGUGGGAAUCUACCCCUGGGAGCGGAAUACCGGCGAGAAAUCGGCGACAAAACCGCGUACGCUCUGGAAAGAGGAAAGUCGCAAGACGCCCGGGGAU
rnacentral:rRNA from 1 species